rnacentral:rRNA from 1 species
GGUUAAGUUAGAAAGGGCGCACGGUGGAUGCCUUGGCACUAGGAGCCGAAGAAGGACGGGACUAACACCGAUAUGCUUUGGGGAGCUGUACGUAAGCGUUGAUCCAGAGAUUUCCGAAUGGGGGAACCCACUAUCUUUAGUCGGAUAGUAUCCUUACGUGAAUACAUAGCGUGAGGAAGGCAGACCCAGGGAACUGAAACAUCUAAGUACCUGGAGGAAGAGAAAGAAAAAUCGAUUUCCUGAGUAGCGGCGAGCGAAACGGAAAGAGCCCAAACCAAGAAGCUUGCUUCUUGGGGUUGUAGGACACUCUAUACGGAGUUACAAAAGAAAGUUAUAAAUGAAGCGGUCUGGAAAGGCCCGCCAAAGACGGUAACAGCCCGGUAGUUGAAAUGGCUUUCCCUCCAGAGUGGAUCCUGAGUACGGCGGAACACGUGAAAUUCCGUCGGAAUCCGGGAGGACCAUCUCCCAAGGCUAAAUACUCCCUAGUGACCGAUAGUGAACCAGUACCGUGAGGGACAGGUGAAAAGCACCCCGGACGGGGAGUGAAACAGUUCCUGAAACCGUGUGCCUACAAGUAGUUAGAGCCCGUUAAUGGGUGAUAGCGUGCCUUUUGUAGAAUGAACCGGCGAGUUACGAUUUGUUGCAAGGUUAAGCGGAAAAAGCGGAGCCGUAGCGAAAGCGAGUCUGAAUAGGGCGCAUAAGUAACAGGUCGUAGACCCGAAACCAGGUGAUCUACCCAUGUCCAGGAUGAAGGUAAGGUAAUACUUACUGGAGGUCCGAACCCACGCACGUUGAAAAGUGCGGGGAUGAGGUGUGGGUAGCGGAGAAAUUCCAAUCGAACUUGGAGAUAGCUGGUUCUCUCCGAAAUAGCUUUAGGGCUAGCCUCGAGGUAAAGAGUCAUGGAGGUAGAGCACUGUUUGGACUAGGGGCCCUUCUCGGGUUACCGAAUUCAGAUAAACUCCGAAUGCCAUGUACUUAUACUCGGGAGUCAGACUGCGAGUGAUAAGAUCCGUAGUCGAAAGGGAAACAGCCCAGACCACCAGUUAAGGUCCCCAAAUAUAUGUUAAGUGGAAAAGGAUGUGGGGUUGCUUAGACAACCAGGAUGUUGGCUUAGAAGCAGCCACCAUUGAAAGAGUGCGUAAUAGCUCACUGGUCGAGUGACCCCGCGCCGAAAAUGUACCGGGGCUAAACAUAUUACCGAAACUGUGGAUGAACCUCUGUAGAGGUUCGUGGUAGGAGAGCGUUCUAAGGGCGGUGAAGUCAGACCGGAAGGACUGGGGGAGCGCUUAGAAGUGAGAAUGCCGGUAUGAGUAGCGAAAGAAGGGUGAGACUCCCUUCCACCGAAUAUCUAAGGUUUCCUGAGGAAGGCUCGUCCGCUCAGGGUUAGUCGGGACCUAAGCCGAGGCCGAUAGGCGUAGGCGAUGGACAACAGGUAGAGAUUCCUGUACCAGUGCUAAUUGUUUAACCGAUGGGGUGACACAGAAGGAUAGGGAAUCGCACGAAUGGAAAUGUGCGUCCAAGCAGUGAGUGUGAGAAGUAGGCAAAUCCGCUUCUCGCGAAGCAUGAGCUGUGAUGGGGAAGGAAAUUAAGUACGGAAGUUCCUGAUUUCACGCUGUCAAGAAAAGCCUCUAGGAAGAGUAGUACUGCCCGUACCGCAAACCGACACAGGUAGAUGAGGAGAGAAUCCUAAGGUGAGCGAGAGAACUCUCGUUAAGGAACUCGGCAAAAUGACCCCGUAACUUCGGGAGAAGGGGUGCUCUAUUAGGGUGCAAGCCCGAGAGAGCCGCAGUGAAUAGGCCCAGGCGACUGUUUAGCAAAAACACAGGUCUCUGCAAAACCGUAAGGUGACGUAUAGGGGCUGACGCCUGCCCGGUGCUGGAAGGUUAAGAGGAGUGCUUAGCUUCGGCGAAGGUACGAAUUGAAGCCCCAGUAAACGGCGGCCGUAACUAUAACGGUCCUAAGGUAGCGAAAUUCCUUGUCGGGUAAGUUCCGACCCGCACGAAAGGCGCAACGAUCUGGGCACUGUCUCAACGAGAGACUCGGUGAAAUUAUAGUACCUGUGAAGAUGCAGGUUACCCGCGACAGGACGGAAAGACCCCGUGGAGCUUUACUGCAACCUGAUAUGGAAUGUUUGUACCGCUUGUACAGGAUAGGUAGGAGCCGAAGAGACGUGUGCGCUAGCAUACGAGGAGGCAAUGGUGGGAUACUACCCUGGCUGUAUGACCAUUCUAACCCGCCACGCUUAGCGCGUGGGGAGACAGUGUCAGGUGGGCAGUUUGACUGGGGCGGUCGCCUCCUAAAGAGUAACGGAGGCGCCCAAAGGUUCCCUCAGAAUGGAUGGAAAUCAUUCGCAGAGUGUAAAGGCACAAGGGAGCUUGACUGCGAGACUGACAAGUCGAGCAGGGACGAAAGUCGGGCUUAGUGAUCCGGUGGUUCCGCAUGGA